UUUCAGACUUGAAGAACCAAUGUGAAGGAGGGAAACAAGCAAGAAAAAAAGUAACAAUCAUUUGUAUGCGAACUCCGCUGAUCAGACGUGACUUGUCAGGGGGACUCGUUCAUUCCUGAAAGAAAUCACAUUAUUUCCUCCUCUCAGGAGUGGAGAGAGUGGUUCCUGGAAAGUUGGAAGAAAGUGACAUAUUAUUUGCAAAUGGACUAUUGUCCAAUUGAAAAAAGAAGAUGCUAUGAAUGGACAGGACUCCACUACACAUUUGUAUCGUUGCAUUUCAAGUGAAACUACUUUUGGCUGCUGUAAACCUUGAUAUAUAUCAGAGAAAAUUAGCACAAUCCUUUUCAUUAAAAAGUUACCCAUUAGAUCUCAGAUCAGUUGGAAUCCAACAACUUUGACCUACCUUGAAGAGGCCCAUGAACUGUUUUAAAAUACAAACAAAAUGAUUUCUUACCUGUUCAGGAUUCUCCAAUAUAAUCCUCCGGACAGUGCCCUGGGAAUAAGGAGCCAAUUUCAUGGAUGGAGAUCCAACUUCCUGAAAGGGGAAAACAGCAAACAAAAAGUAUGAGAUGGACCAAUUUCAGAGUGAUGGCUCUCUGGAUUUGUACUGCAUUGAAAGGUAGCUAUGCAUGUGAUAAAAUACAGCAUCCUUUGUUGGGAAAGCCAACUCAAAGCAAGCUUUUGAAUCUUCACCGGCUUCUUCAUCAGGCAAGGGUGUUUUUAUUUUUUUUAAAAAAUCAUACAGAAGAAUAGAAGUGAUGGUGCUUGAGUAACAGGCCUACAUUUUGGCUCAGCUGUUACUUCUCACAGAAUCAGAGUUGGAAGAGACCUCUUGGGCAUCCAAUCAACCCCCUGCCAAGAAGCAAGAAAAUCGUAUUCAAAGCACCCCCAACAGAUAGCCAUCCAGCCUCUGUUUAAAAAACUCCAAAGAAGGAGCCUCCACCACACUCCGUGGCAGAGAGUACCACUGCUGAACAGCUUUCAGAGUGAGGAAGUUCUUCCUAAUGUUCAGGUGGAAUCUCCUUUCCUGUAUUUUGAAGCCAUUGUUCUGCAUCCUAGUCUCCAGAGCAGCAUGGUAUCUCUUUUUGGAGACCAUUCCCUUUCUUGGCCUCUUUCCACUUUGACAGGGAAGGCUUUAACAAGACAGAGCUAAUGGGCUUGUACUCUUUGAGAUGUUUACUCCCAACAAAAGCAAACAAUUGGACUACCAUGAGCAAGUUUUACCUAUAUAGCAUCUUAAGGGUUUUUCAGAUGUAACAAGACAGACUUCUUGAGAAAUUCCAUGUUCUCUACUUAGGAAAAGGCACAGGACAGAGACAGCUUGGAUCUUUUUUAUUGUUAAUGGAGCUGAAACGUAUUACACGUCUUUUGUCCCUAGUCCACACAUCACCAACAUGGCCUACAUUGAUGUCCCUCUUAACUGAAGACAAAAGUAACAUUUGGGAUAAAGAUUAGGCAUUUGGCUCUAAUAGUCAAAGAGAGAGGCCGGUAAGAAAUAAUAACAAGAAUAAAUAUUGUCACUUUUCUUCUCCCAUAUGAUUUUAGCAUCUUCAGCUGGUGAAGAUGCCAGUCGAGCUUCAAAAGCUUAUGAAGUAUUUCAUGCAUUUCAAUUGGACAAUACAGUAAAGGUGUUCCUGUGUUGAGGGUUUUGGACUCUGCUAUAAAGCAUCUAGACUACUCUAGUCACUUUGCAAACAGUUUUCCUUUAGCAAUUAUUUAAUAAACAAACAUGAACAAUCA